rnacentral:rRNA from 1 species
AUCGAACGCUUUCUUCAGGCCUAACACAUGCAAGUCGAACGAACCUUUCGGGGUUAGUGGCGGACGGGUGAGUAACACGUGGGAACGUGCCUUUAGGUUCGGAAUAACUCAGGGAAACUUGUGCUAAUACCGAAUGUGCCCUUCGGGGGAAAGAUUUAUCGCCUUUAGAGCGGCCCGCGUCUGAUUAGCUAGUUGGUUGAGGUAAUGGCUCACCAAGGCGACGAUCAGUAGCUGGUCUGAGAGGAUGAUCAGCCACAUUGGGACUGAGACACGGCCCAAACUCCUACGGGAGGCAGCAGUGGGGAAUCUUGCGCAAUGGGCGAAAGCCUGACGCAGCCAUGCCGCGUGAAUGAUGAAGGUCUUAGGAUUGUAAAAUUCUUUCACCGGGGACGAUAAUGACGGUACCCGGAGAAGAAGCCCCGGCUAACUUCGUG